rfam:Sporosarcina psychrophila strain DSM 6497, complete genome.
AACAACCACUAGGGGAGCCUUUUUUAGGCUGAGACGUGCAUGAAUGCGCGGACCCUUGGAACCUGAUCCGGAUUAUACCGGCGUAGGAAAGUGGGUACGCCUUUUA